rnacentral:rRNA from 1 species
UACGAAGGGGGCUAGCGUCGUUCGGAAUUACUGGGCGUAAAGCGCACGUAGGCGGAUUGCUAAGUCAGGGGUGAAAUCCCGGGGCUCAACCCCGGAACUGCCUUUGAUACUGGCUGUCUAGAGUCCGGAAGAGGUGAGUGGAAUUCCGAGUGUAGAGGUGAAAUUCGUAGAUAUUCGGAGGAACACCAGUGGCGAAGGCGGCUCACUGGUCCGGAACUGACGCUGAGGUGCGAAAGCGUGGGGAGCAAACAGG